CUCACCUCUGCAAAACCUCUCAGUUCACCUCCCUCCAUCACUUCCGUCCCCGACAACUUCUGAGCACAGCCACCUAUCAGCUAGCCAUCAAUCAAACUUCUAAUCUCUACUUAUCUCCGUCUUAGCUUCUCUCUUAUCAAAAACAGUAACCCUAGAAUCUAGGAUUGGGAGAGAUAAGAUUAGGGCUAGCUUCAACAGCUGGAGAACAUCAAAUCAAAGAGUUGCAGAGUUGAAUUGCAGAAUGGGUUUGUCGGAAAAAGCGUUUUGGGUGAGUGAGUGGGUUUUCUCUAAUUAUCAAAUUCAAGUGAUUGAGAAGAAAUUUAUGUAUGAAUAGAGACUUUUGUUGUGUAACAAAAUCAUUCGAAUUUAGUUGGAUCAAUUGCUAGUUUAAUAUAAUUGCGUUUUAACCAAUUUCACCAUGUUCUAAUUCCAUCUGCUAGUGUUGAGAAGAAGCCAGUUAACUGCAUCAUUGCCAUAACUAGAUUUAGGUUAAGCAUAGUAGGUCUUCUGUUGUUUUUCAGUUAGUAGUUUACAGCAUGUUAGCACCUGUAACUUUCAGUUUGUUAUAAUGCUGUAGCUUGUAAGUUUUCAGUCAUCCCAUUCAUAGCUGUACCUUUGUUCUAUAUCCUUGUGUUUUCAGUCAUUGUAUGUCAAUCAGUUUCAUUUGCAUUGUAGCUUUGUAAUCUUAGCUACAACUUCAUAAGCUUCAUUGUCCUGUAGUAUAAGCUAGCUUACAUCAUAAUCUGGAUCUGUAGUUUUUGGCACCAUUUAGUUCGCUUCAGAAAUAGUUAACUUCCAUAAUUUGUAUCAGUGAUUAAGCACAUGUGUCUGUAAUAUACCUGUACAAACAUUCUGGCAUCUUGCACUUUCUUUUUCCUGUUGAAGUUUGUCUAUAAUUGCAUUCUGUAUCAGCUUCAUCCUGUUUGACUGUGACUGUUCUGUCACUGAUCACUCAGUCAGGUAACAAAGAAGAAUAAACUCUAAAUCAUUAUCAAAACUGUAGGCUCCUCUCAGCUGUUAAUCAGCAAUGAUGCUUCCUGAAUUUGUUUCACCUGUAUAAUUCGAAGUCCUGACAAUCUCUUUUGAGUAACCAGGUACUUGUGAAGCUGGAACACAAACCAAGGAGAGGGAAAAGAAGGAGCAGCACUUUGUUGCUUAAUCAUAUUUGAUUUUCACCUAAUUUUGUGUAGUUUUUGAUUUAUCAGAUUUCUUCCAGUUUUCAAUAAUUUUUAUUUCAGUUUUUUGAUUCAAUCUAGUUUGUUUGUUGACGAUUUUCUUCAGUUAGUUUGAUGUGUAUUGGCUUUUCAUUUUUUUUUUUUUUUUUUUUUUUGUGUUUGAUUUCUUUUUUCGUUUGGGUUUUCCGUAUUUCACUCAUUAAGUUGUUUGGAGAAGUUUACUACGUAUUGUUCUUGCUUCUGGUCUUUUUUUGUUAUUCUGCAGAUGAAGAUAAAUGAACCUCACAAUGAACUUUGGCAGGGUACAAAUGGUGCUCCAUAAGGUUAAUACUCUUGUGAAGUUAACCUCAAAGAGAACUAAUUCUUACUCAUUUGAAUCCAUGGUUUGUUUAAGUUACUAGGAAUGUUGUUUGAUGACAGUUUGCUUAAAGUAAUAAGAGAGUCACAUAACUACUGCACUUACAACAUUUGUAUGAUUCGUAUUAGGGUGAUAUGCUCUUCUGGGACAGAAGUCUCUUCUAACAUUGUUGACUGAAGUUUAUUCUAACUUGGGUUACUUGAUACCGUUUUAGAUAAUUACCCAUUGUCCCUGCAGAUAGCAGUCUAGGUUUGUUUCUUUGGUCUUGGUUAGCACUUUGGUCUGUUAUUACAUCUAUUGUUUAGGGUGCUCGUCACUUCUGAUCUCCAUGUCCCAGAUAAUGCAGUUGCCCGUCACCUUGUACCAUGAUUUAACUCGACCUGAAUUUGGAACUAAAAAUUGCGCACAUGUUUAAUAGGCUCCUGAUAAAGUACUAAGAAGGAUUUACAUCAAUGUAGAGAGACAUAUGCUCAGUAGAGACGAAUAUGCUACUGAAAUUCAGAAGAGAUUUCGAUUAAUAGUGAGUCUUGUUUUACCUGUGGUGUAUUCAUUACAUUGUCACUGGUCUUGGAUGUAAGUAAAAAGGUCUAUUUUUUUAUUUGAAUCGCGGGAAGGUGGAUGGCCCUUAGGAUUACAACCAUUGAACGUGAGAGUUGGUUUGGUGAGGAAUCGUGAUUUUUCGGGGUCGAUGUCUUCCAAUACACUUAUCACUGGUUCUCCAAGUUUCUCAACAGAUUCUUCAUCAGGCUUGGAUACAGAGGUUAGCUAUAGAUAGUAAUCAAAGCAAUGCAAAGAUCAAAGAGAUGCUAAUGGAGGAUCAAUAUGUUAAGCUGAGGAAACACUACCAGAAAAGUCCGAUAUCUGAGCCUCUCCAGAGACCGAAAGCCCAACCAUCAUUCUGGGAACUGCUUGAGAAAUUAAAGCAUUGGCAACAAGUCAUUAAAACUUCAAGCCUAAGCAUCCUUUGAGCAACAAGGCAUUAAAACUACAACAGUGGUUCCCGAUAUUUGAAUUGAUUGAUAUGUAAAUACCAAUGUAGAUGGUUGGUUUCAUGAUUAUCAUAUUUUGAGGUUGUGUUUUAACCUCUAGAGCUCAGAUUGGUGGGUAUUAAUAGAGUUAUGUGCUCUGGAUUGUUUUUUUUCUUUUUCCUUCUGAUGUAUAUGUACUUUGAGAAAACACAGCAUAACCAGGCACCUUCAAACUAACAAUAUGGCGUUUCAUCUCAAAAGCAGAUGCUUAGUUUCA